rnacentral:rRNA from 1 species
UCUGGAGUCCGAGUUGUAAUUUGUAGAAGAUGCUUUGGGUCGUGGGUUCGGCCUAAGUUCCUUGGAACAGGACGUCACAGAGGGUGAGAAUCCCGUAUGUGGCCGAGGCCCGCGCCUAUGUAAAGCUCUUUCAACGAGUCGAGUUGUUUGGGAAUGCAGCUCAAAAUGGGUGGUAAAUUUCAUCUAAAGCUAAAUAUGGGCCAGAGACCGAUAGCGCACAAGUAGAGUGAUCGAAAGAUGAAAAGCACUUUGGAAAGAGAGUUAAACAGUACGUGAAAUUGUUGAAAGGGAAGCGCUUGCACCCAGACUUGGGCGCUGCCGAUCACCUUGAGUUCUUCUCGAGUGCACUCGACAGCGCACAGGCCAGCAUCGGUUCGGGUGGCUGGAUAAAGGCCGUAGGAACGUAGCUCUCUUCGGGGAGUGUUAUAGCCUACGGUGCCAUGCAGCCCAGCCGGACCGAGGACCGCGCCUUCGGGCUAGGAUGCUGGCGUAAUGGGUGUAAGCGACC